rnacentral:rRNA from 1 species
CUACACGAUAAAUCUUACCACUUCUUGUAUAUUCAUUACUUAAUUUUACUGCUAUUAUUAGUACUAAUGGUUUCUAACGUUCAGGGUUCUAAGUUGAUUUAUUCUUCUUACGUUCUCUUAUUGUAAGAUGCCUGUGUGUUGAUAUUUAGUGUAUUCUUAUCAUGAUUACAGGUGUUGCAUGGCUGUCUUUAGUUCGUGUUGUGAAAUGUUAGGUUAAUUCCGAAAACGAACGCAACCCUUCUCUUUAAUUAUCUGUUGUUUCUUGUUGUUAUAACUUUACACUUGAAUUUAUUAAAGAUAUGUCUGCCGAUAUGGUGGAACAAUUAGGAUGAAGACAAGUCCUCAUGACCCUUAUGAAGU